rnacentral:rRNA from 1 species
UACGGAGGGUGCAAGCGUUAUCCGGAUUCACUGGGUUUAAAGGGUGCGUAGGUGGCUACGUAAGUCAGUGGUGAAAGCCUCCCGCUUAACGGGAGAAUUGCCAUUGAAACUGCGUAGCUUGAGUACAGUUGAAGUGGGCGGAAUACAUCAUGUAGCGGUGAAAUGCUUAGAUAUGAUGUAGAACACCGAUUGCGAAGGCAGCUCACUAAGCUGUAACUGACACUGAGGCACGAAAGCGUGGGUAGCGAACAGGAUUAGAUACCCGGUAGUCGUC